CGGACGGUCGGGGGGGGGCGGAGCUACGUCAACGUAAACAACAGGUCACGAGGUCACCUAACCAAAAACAACAGAACCUACGACUGCAGUCCACAAACACAAUCUCAUCGAGUCCGCAGACGACGCUGCAUUGGUCGGAUCAUCUCUGAGGCAGCCGACAGACAGAUGGCAGCCUGGUGUUCAGAGAAUAACCUCGAUCUGAACACCAACAAACCAGAGAGAGCAUCGUUGACUUCGUUGACGUCCUCAUCUCCUGGACAGAGAACAUCACAGCAGUCUACUACAGCGACUACAACCUAAACUCCAGUCUGCUGCUGACCUUCUACCGCUCAUCCACCGAGAGCCUGCUGACAUCCUGUAUCACAGUAACAGCAGCUGCACCGCUGCAGACAGGGAGGGGCUCCACAGGCUGCCCUCUCCCCUCUCUGAUGGACAUUUACACCUCCCGCUGCCUCAACAGAGCUAAAACCAUCAAACACAGCUCCCACCCUGGCUUUGACCCGUUUGACCUGUUGCCCUCAGGGAGGCGCUACAGGUGCAUUAGGACCAGAACAAACAGAAUCAAGAUUUAUAUAUUUAACACUGUAUAUAGCUCCGUAUUUAUUUGCAAAUGUACACACUCCUCAGGACUGUGCACCUGACCUCCCUUUGUUGUACCAUUACUUUAUGUCCUGUGUUUAUACUGUAUAUAUUUUGAUAAUUGUACUGUUUUUUGCACUUCCAUUGGAGUUGGCUUUCUAAUCUCAUCGUUCAUGUGUACAGUGACAAUAAAGGCUUUCUAUUCUAUUCUAUUCUAUUCUAAGAAACCUAAACCCACACUGUCAACAAUAAAUGAUCCAACCUCA